GACGAACGCUGGCGGCGUGCCUAAUACAUGCAAGUCGAACGAGCCGCGACUAAGUGCUUGCACUAAGUCAAGGUGAGUGGCGAACGGGUGAGUAACACGUGGGUAACCUACCUCAUAGUGGGGGAUAACAGUCGGAAACGACUGCUAAUACCGCAUAGGACAUAGGAUCACAUGAUCCAGUGAGGAAAGGUGGCGCAAGCUAUCGCUAAGAGAUGGACCCGCGGUGCAUUAGCUAGUUGGUAGGGUAAAGGCCUACCAAGGCGAUGAUGCAUAGCCGACCUGAGAGGGUGAUCGGCCACAUUGGGACUGAGACACGGCCCAGACUCCUACGGGAGGCAGCAGUAGGGAAUCUUCGGCAAUGGACGAAAGUCUGACCGAGCAACGCCGCGUGAGUGAAGAAGGGUUUCGGAUCGUAAAGCUCGGUUGUAAGAGAAGAACGGGUGUGAGAGUGGAAAGUUCACACUGUGACGGUAUCUUACCAGAAAGAGACGGCUAACUACGUG
rnacentral:rRNA from 1 species